CCCACAGACUAGAAUGUGAAUGUGGUGAUAGUGACUGAGAUUCAUCUUUGUAAACAAGAGCAAAAAACUCCUUAGGGGGUGAUGAAACAAGAUAAAAAGAAUGAAGUCUCUGGAUAACAGUGUGGAACAGAACUGCCGGACGCUCAGGACUGCCAACUCAACCGCCUGCCAACCCAGACUCAGAUGAAGAAUAUCUACCAGACAAUGCAAAGAACAGCAAUGUUAUAAUAACCUGUUUCAGAAGCAUAUCCCAGACUUCAUCUAUUGGGUGCUGAACAGGCUAAAGGCUGGGCUGAACCACCCCCACAAGGAUGAAGACUCUGCUAUCUAAUCUGAAUCAAGCAAAAUAUUCCUCCCAAAUAAAGAUUAUCAACCAACUGGGCUUUUUUUUAAAGUGUUGUUAUCCACUCAUAACUCUAUUUGGAUUUUGUCUGCAUAGGUGGUUUGCAUAAUUUCUGUUCUUAUUCUUUUACUGAUAUACUGCUAUCCUAAGAAGAAGAUCAGUUUUAGUCAUUUUUCCAGAGAUAUCUGAAAAGAUGGUAAGCUCUGGAGGUUUUCAGUUCAUUCAUCACAGAGAAUACAUCAAAAUUACUACAUUAUUUU